AAAAAUUUUGAUUUUUGAUUUUUUAGUUUGCUUUAUUAUUUUUAUGCAUGUAAAUUUUUGUGGGGUUUAAUUAUUCUAAAUGAUUAAUUUAAAAUUUUCAGUGUUUUAUUUUUUUUUAUUAAUUUUUUAAUUAAAGAUAUUUUUUUUAUAUUUGAACAAUUUUGUGCCAGCAUUCGCGGUUAUACAAAUAUUUGAAGUAAAUUUUUUUGGAUUUCAGAUUUUUUUUUCUUUUAGGAUAUUUAGGUGAAAUUUAUAUUUUAAUGCUUUUUUGUUUCUGUCUAAGCUUAAUUUAAAACCAGGAUUAGAUACCCUGUUAUUAAGAUUAAUUUUUUGUUUCCGGUUAGUAAUAUUUUUUAUUGAAAUUUAAUGGAUCUGGCGGUUUUUAAAUCUUUUUAGAGGAACCUGUAAUUUAAAUGAUAAUCCACGAUAUAUUUUACCUUUAAUUUCUUGUAUAUCUCUGUCGUUGAAUGUAUUGAUAGAAAAUUUUCUUUGGAAUUAUUUUAUUUAUGUUAGGUCAAGGUGCAGUUAUUUAUAGGUUAUUAUGGGUUACUUUUAUUUUAGUUAUUGGAUUUUUUGGUUUGUAAUAUUUUGAAUUUGGAUUUAAAAGUAAUAUUUAUUUAUUUAAUUUUAUGAAUUUUGCUCUUAAUUAUGUACAUAUCGCCCGUCAUUCUCAUAAAUUGAGACAAGUCGUAACAAAGUAGAUGUAUCGGAAGAUGUAUCUAGAA
rnacentral:ncRNA from 1 species